UUUAACAUGACCCAGUGUUUAUUGACUCCUGCCACAGUUUUGUUUUUGUGUUUGAUUUUAAUAGUAACAGGAACACAAAAUGUGAUGUAUGGUAAAAUAUUACUAGGGAGUUCUAUAUUGAUCCGAAGCAAAGUGCCAGCAUUGUUGACCAGCAUACAACCUGACAAGAGAAGAUGUAGUCAUAACUCACUCUCAGAUAUCUGCUGGGAGUAUAUCACAGUGAAAGUAAAACUAGUUAUUUGCCUGCAAAUAGAUACAUUUUCUUCUAGAUGCAAGUGAUGUUAGAGCCAGCUAUUUUGCAACAACAACAACAAAUAUAUAUAACAUAUUCCAACAUUUUAAAAAAUAGGAAAGGACUAAAACUGUUUAAAAAGAGAAGGAAAAGAAAGUGGAUCAUUUUAGAUAGUACUCUGCAGAGGCCAUUCCUCAUAGAACCAGAAGUAAUCAAGAGAAAGCAAGAUAUAUUAGAGGCUACUUUGCUCAAAAGGCCAGUGGUUAUAAGUUUAAGAAUACAAAUACUAUCUUGAUUUUCAGCACUGUCUCCUGGCCUUUUAUUCCCUGCUCAACAAAAUCCACCUGUAAGAAAUUGUGGCCUGGUGGCUCUGCAUAUUUUUCCAAUGCAAUUACAUUUGGAAAGGCAACUAUAUUUCUCAUAGAGCCAUGAAAACCUUACAUGACACACACAUGGUGGCAAGUAACAUCUUCACAGAUAUGAAUGACGAAGGCACAUUACCUAAAUGUUGAGGAAAAAAGAAACCAGCAAAACUUUUGGCGGUCUAAAAAAUUAAAUGCCUUAGAGAAAUCACUCUUCUUCACAACUGGGUGACAAGUGCUGUUUAGCCAUAGAUGUUUCAAACAGCUUGCCACAAAGACAAAACACAAGCAAGGGAAAGUCUCCUUCAAAUGCCCUCCCUACAGCAACAACCUGCUUCUCCCAGAAUUCUUCAGAAAAAUUCAUUCAUGCAGAACAGUUUGCAACAAUUCCAGAGACAGGCAAGAGAAAUCUGUGUAGAAAACAUCAAGCUAGUGGAUUCCUACAUGACCAACACCCUUUUGCCCCCAUUAAACUACAUCAUCUUCAAGGAGAUCAUUCCACUGAUCUGGAAACAGGGUAAAGGGCUAGAAUAGAGAACUGAGGAACUGGUUCCAAAAUCCUGUGCCCUCAACUUUUUCGUACUUAAUUAUGUGUGUUAAUAAAGACUGCUCUCUGAGAAUAAUUGCUUUCUCCUCUAUCUAGAUCAGAAAUAUAUUGGCCAAAAAUGAAAAUGUGUACUUUAUUUACAAUAAAAAUCUAUACUGCUCUAUGCUCUACCCACCACACACAUGUUGCUGACCACUGCUGAAGCCAGGUGGUAGCACUAGUGGUAACUGAAGUACCUUUCUUUUUCAGCCUUUAUACAAAACCUUCCCCUCCCACCUCAUUGUUCUUCUGCUGUUCUAGGCUCCAGUGAGAUGUGUACUAACAUCUCUUUCUAGUGCAUUUUUUUUAGGUUACAGUUUCUAAUGGCAAAGCAAGACGUGUUCUGCUCUGGUUUAGGUGUCUUUGCCCCUUUUAAAAUCAUGUAGAAGAGUCAAAUUCACAUGCCAUUAUCAACUUUGCAUAGCAAUACAACAGGUUAGCUUUCCCCCCCACCCCAUUUUUUAAAUAAUAAUCCUGUGAGCCCCCCUUUUCAACACCUCCCAUCUUUCAGAUGGUUACCUCACUCUCAGGGAAGAGCCCUAAAUCUUUCGCCUCCUACAUGAACAUUGCAGAAUGAGAAUUUCAAGUUAUUGUCAAGCUUCAUUCAAGUCUAUUGCUGUGUUACUUAGAAGCAACUGUAGUAGAAUAAUGUUUUUCCUAACAUAAAAGGACAUUUAUCAGAUUAUUUGUCUUUUUCUAGUCUUGAAUUAUAAGAAUAUGUCACAUGUUCCCUCAUAUUGCUCUCUUAAGGUGCACAGUGGUCAGGCGGAAAUAAGUCCAGCCCGUAAGACCACAGCUGGAUCUCUGGGAGAAGCCAGAGAGAAUGAGGUGUUUCUUAGCACUACUGUACUUACAUUCAGAAUUCAAGGACAGGCUGAAGGAUGCCUAGCUCUUUCUUUUUUUUUUUCUCUCUCUUUAGAGACAGAACUGCUAAAAAAUACUCCACUUCUAUUACCAUUUGUUAAGUCACAAAAGUUUUGGGUUUUUUUCUGUCAUAUACAGCUAUUACCCUUCUGUUGCUGAUGUUUAAUAGUUGCCAUUGCACACUACCUUUUCAUUCCCCAGCUCAAGCGCAACAGAGCUGGCCUGGAGACCCAUCACCAGCACGACAGCCUAGCACUGCGUGGUGAAGCAGUGCAGGGGCUGGUGGUUCAGACAGACCACCUUACCCACUGUGGGCUGGUGGCAUGGCAACACAGGUCACUGAAGAGGGUGUCUGUCAUACGUUUCGUAGGGUCUGACAUACACUCGCAUUCAUUUUUGUCUUGUGUAUUAGGUUAAGAACAAUUAUGUGAAUCAUAAAUACAUCCACUGCCAGCUCCCAGCUUCAUUGAGCUAUUCUGAACUGCAUAGUAAGUGCUGGUCAAAAAAAAUUAAAAAAAAAAAAAAAAAAAA
ensembl:lncRNA